AUAUUGUGCAAUGGAGGGAACUCUGACGCAGCGACGCCUCGUGAGCGAUGAAGGUCUUCGUCUCGUAAAGCUCUGUCCCUGGGGUAGAAGGUCUCCGGCCUUGACGUUCCCUAAGGAGGAAGCCCCUGCUGACUACGUGCCUCCAGCCGCGGUAAUACGUAGGGGGCAAGCGUUGUCCGGAAUUAUUGGGCGUAAAGGGUUCUGAAGCGGCCUUUUAAGUCAGAUGUGAAAGCCCACGGAUUAACCGUGGGACUGCAUUUGAAACUGGAGGGCUUGAGUAUCGGAGAGGGUAGUGGAAUUCCCAGUGUAGCGGUGGAAUGCGUAGAUAUUGGGAGGAACACCAGUGGCGAAGGCGAAUACCUGGACGAAAACUGACGCUGAGGCACGAAAGCUAGGGGAGCAAAC
rnacentral:rRNA from 1 species